AACACAUGCAAGUCGAGGGGUAUAGUUCUUCGGAGCUAGAGACCGGCGCACGGGUGCGUAACGCGUAUGCAAUCUACCUUUCACAGAGGGAUAGCCCAGAGAAAUUUGGAUUAAUACCUCAUAGUAUUAUAGAGUGGCAUCACUUUAUAAUUAAAGUCACAACGGUGAAAGAUGAGCAUGCGUCCCAUUAGCUAGUUGGUAAGGUAACGGCUUACCAAGGCUACGAUGGGUAGGGGUCCUGAGAGGGAGAUCCCCCACACUGGUACUGAGACACGGACCAGACUCCUACGGGAGGCAGCAGUGAGGAAUAUUGGACAAUGGGCGCAAGCCUGAUCCAGCCAUGCCGCGUGCAGGAUGACGGUCCUAUGGAUUGUAAACUGCUUUUAUACAGGAAGAAACACCUCUACGUGUAGAGACUUGACGGUACUGUAAGAAUAAGGAUCGGCUAACUCCGUGCCAGCAGCCGCGGUAAUACGGAGGAUCCAAGCGUUAUCCGGAAUCAUUGGGUUUAAAGGGUCCGUAGGCGGUUUAGUAAGUCAGUGGUGAAAGCCCAUCGCUCAACGGUGGAACGGCCAUUGAUACUGCUAGACUUGAAUUAUUAGGAAGUAACUAGAAUAUGUAGUGUAGCGGUGAAAUGCUUAGAGAUUACAUGGAAUACCAAUUGCGAAGGCAGGUUACUACUAAUUGAUUGACGCUGAUGGACGAAAGCGUGGGUAGCGAACAGGAUUAGAUACCCUGGUAGUCCACGCCGUAAACGAUGGAUACUAGCUGUUGGGAGCAAUCUCAGUGGCUAAGCGAAAGUGAUA
rnacentral:rRNA from 1 species